rnacentral:rRNA from 6 species
CGGAAACCUUCGGGUUUUAGUCGGCGAACGGGUGAGUAACACGUAAGCAACCUCGCCCUUAAGACGAGGAUAACAAUUGGAAACAGUUGCUAAGACUGGAUAGGAAAAGUAAAGGCAUCUUUACUUUUUUAAAAGAUCUUCUUUGAAGGUAUGCUUAAGGAGGGGCUUGCGACACAUUAGUUAGUUGGUAGGGUAAAGGCCUACCAAGACUAUGAUGUGUAGCUGGACUGAGAGGUUGAACAGCCACAUUGGGACUGAGACACGGCCCAAACUCCUACGGGAGGCAGCAGUAGGGAAUUUUCGGCAAUGGAGGAAACUCUGACCGAGCAACGCCGCGUGAACGAUGAAGUACCUCGGUAUGUAAAGUUCUUUUAUUAAGGAAGAAAAAAGAGUGGAAAAACUCCCUUGACGGUACUUAAUGAAUAAGCCCCGGCUAAUUAUGUGCCAGCAAGCCGCGGUAAUACAUAAGGGGCGAGCGUUAUCCGGAAUUAUUGGGCGUAAAGGGUGCGUAGGCGCUUUAAUAAGUCUAUAGUUUAAUUUCAGUGCUUAACGCUGUUGUGCUAUAGAAACUGUUUUACUAGAGUGAGAUAGAGGCAAGCGGAAUUCCAUGUGUAGCGGUAAAAUGCGUAAAUAUAUGGAGGAACACCAGAGGCGUAGGCGGCUGCUGGGUCUUUCUGACGGUGAGACACGAAAGCUUUGGGAGCACAUAGGAUUAGAUACCCUGGUUGUCCACGCCGUAAACGAUGAGUUUUAAGUUUUGUGUAAAAAUGGUAUUGAAGUUAACACAUUAAGUACUCCGCCUGUGUAGUACGUACGCAAGUAUGAAACUUAAAGGAAUCGACGGGACUCCCCACAAGCGGUGGAUCAUGUUGUUUAAUUCGAAGAUACACGAAAAACCUUACCAGGUCUUGACAUUUUCUUGCGAAGUUAUAGAAAUAUAAUGGAGGUCAUCAGGAAAACAGGUGGUGCAUGGUUGUCGUCAGCUCGUGUCGUGAGAUGUUAGGUUAAGUCCUAAAACGAGCGCAACCCUUGUCGUUAGUUGCCAGCAUGUAACGAUGGGGACUUUAACGAGACUGCCAAUGAAAAAUUGGAGGAAGGUGGGGAUUACGUCAAAUCAUCAUGCCCCUUAUGAUCUGGGCUACAAACGUGAUACAAUGGUUGAUACAAAGAGUAGGUGAAACGCGAGUUCUUAGCCAAUCUCAAAAAAUCAAUCUCAGUUCGGAUUGAAGUCUGCAACUCGACUUCAUGAAGUUGGAAUCGCUAGUAAUCGCGAAUCAGCAUGUCGCGGUGAAUACGUUCUCGGGGUUUGGACACACCGCCCGUCCAACCACGAAAGUUGGCAAUACCCCUAAGCGGUCACCUAACUUCGCAAGAAGAAGGAUCCGUCUAAGGUAGGGUCGAUAAUUGGGGUUAAGUCGUAACAAGGUAUCCCUACCGGAAGGUGGGGAUGGAUCACCUCCUUUCUA